CCGGCCUUAGCUCAGUUGGUAGCAGCGGCAGACUGUAGUGAAGCCAGUGUCCAUUAGGUAUACCCGCACCAGCAGGCAUCUGUAGGUCCCCGGUUCAAAUCCGUGAGGCAGGA